CAGAAAUCCGCCUGCCUCUGCCUCCCGAGUGCUGGGAUUAAAGGCGUGGGCCACCACGCCCAGUCCUGUAUCCACUCUUUUAACCCACUCUUUCCUCCAUCACCCUGUUUGAUGUUCCCAUUCUAGUCACUCCAUUCCCUCUCCCUGUCUAUUUAUAACUGUCUGUUUUACUUCCCCUUCCUUGGAAGUUCCCUCCUUUCCCCAUAAUUCCUUAUUUUAUACAUAGUUUCUAUGGUUAUACUGAUGGUAGUCUGUUUACCAAAGACUUAACAGUAUUUACUUAUAAGCAAAUACAUACCAUAUUUGGAAAUGUACCACAUUUUCUUUAUCCAUUCAUUUGUUUUCAAUUUCUGGCUAUUAUGAAUAUAACAGCAAUGGAUAUGAUUGAACAAGUGUCAUUGUGGUAAAUAUUCUUUGGGUUUAUCCAAUAGUGAUAUAGUUGUAUCUUGAGGGAGAUCAAUUUCCAUCUUCCUGAGGAACCAUCACACCGAUUUCCAUAGUGGUUGUACAAGUUUGCAGUUCCACCAGCAAUGGAGGAGUGUUCCCUAUACUCUACAUCUUCACCAGCAUGAGCUGUCAUUUCAUUUAUUGAUUUGUGCCUUCCUGAUUGGUGUAAUAUUGUAAGAUGGAAUCUCAGAGUAGUUUUGAUCUGCAUUUUCCUGAUGGCUAGGGAUAAUGAACAUUUUUUAUUUCUCAGCCUUUUGAGUUUCCUAUUCUGAGAAUAUAUACUUCAUAUUUUAAUUUGGUUAUUUGAUUUUGGAUAUCUAGGUUUUUGAAUUCUUUAUGUAUUUUAUAUAUUAGCUCUCUAUCAGAUGUGCAGUUAGUAAAAAUCCUUUUCCCAUUUAUAGCCUGCCAUUUUGUCCUAUGGACAGUAUCCUUUGCCAUAUAGAAACUUUUUGGUUCCAUGAGGUCUCAUUUAUGAGUUGUUGAUCUUAGUGCCUGUGCUAUUGGUACUUUGUUCAGAAUGUCAUAUCCUGUGUUAGUGAAUUCAAAGAUAUUCCCCAGUUUCUCCUCUACCAGCUUCAGUGUAUCUGGUUCUAUGUUGAAGUCUUUGAUCCAUUUGGAGUUUCAUUGAAGAUGAUACACGUGGAUCUAUUUGCAUUCUUCUACAUGCACCAUGAAGUUAGAUCAGCUCCAUCUGCCGAAGUGUAUGUGUUUUUCCAUAUGAAGGCAAAAAGAAUGUCCUUUCAAGUUCUGUGAAGAAUUGUGUUGGAAUUUUGAUGAAGAUUGCAUUGAAUCUGUAGGUUGCUCUUGGUAGAAUAACCAUUUUUCCUACCAAUCUAUGAACAUGGGAAAUGUUUUCAUCUUCUGAUAUCUUCUUCAAUUUCUUUCUUCUAUGUCUUAAAGUCUUUAUUAUGGAUGGCAUCCAGAGGCUGACAAAUUCUAAGCACUCUGCUACUAAGAGGUGUUCCCAACACUGUGUUUCCAUUUCUAGAGAUGGGAAGACUGAGAGUUAUGGAGGUGCUGUGCAGAUGUGUCUGGAAACUGCUGUACUGGGCAAACACCACACUCUGGCAAAUACUCUUGCUGUGUGGGCUGAGCUCAUCAGUUCUUGCUGCCCCAGCAUGUUGCUGACACUCUUCUUCUGUUCCGGGCAAGUUGAUCUAAUGAAAGCAUGCAGCAGAAAAGGAGAACCUUGUGAUGACCUUCUGGGGCCACCAAGUCCUAGAUAGAGCAGCAGUCAGUGUUAGAACUUGUGACUCAUGAGGAUGGGAACUGAGGUCUUUGUCCUCCAAUCUGGAGACGACAUCAGGCCACCAGUCUGCAAAUGUGUCUCUAGAUUUCAGGUAUAUGCUGAGCAGACUCUUCAUGUCAGAAGAUAAUGGAAGUUCUAAUUCAUAACUGAACCAAGGACUGCAGAUGGCAUCAUUGCCUACUGGAAAACUAGUUGCUGGUGUGUGUGAAGCCUGUGUGCCGUCCCCAGCACAACAAAACAAUAUCAGAACAAGACAAAAUGAUGGCAAAUGAACCCAAGUUUUCACGUCUUGAAAGGAAACAUUGCCAAUAUAGUAGGAUGCGCCUGGAACUCGGGAACACUUGGGAGACAGAAGGAUUUCCAUGAGUUCAAAUCCAGCCUGGGUUAUGGAGUGAUUUCAAGGCUAGCCUGAGCUAGAGAACAGGACCCUGAUUCAAAAAUUAACAAGUAAAAAUAAUAAAUAAAAGAAAGUCAAUUUUACUUUACAAAUUAACAUCUGUGGAUGUCAUUUUAGAAAUAGGUUUAAAGGGAACUGCCUGCAGAAUAGAGUACAAAUGAAAAGAACACUAAGAGUAAACACAGAUUUUUUUUUUAAAUGUUUAUUUUGGCAAAUUUUUGUCAACAUGAUGGAGAUAGCCUUCUGUAAAAUAGUUAUCUACUCAUUGAGUACAGCAGGUACAUUUUGAGGCUUCAAGUUUUUGUUACUUUCUAUAAAAAUACAUUGCUUUUUGUUUUGUUUCUUUAUUUGGAUCUGGAUCUCCCUAUGUAGCCCAGGUUGACCUCAAACUCACCAUUUUUUGCCGACUUUUCACAUGCUGCUGACAUGGCAAGAAUGUGCCACUACAUUCCCUUAAGGUAAUUCUUCACUCGUGCAUAUACACACCCCACACUACCCACCCUGCUUUUGGCUAUAAAUGUAAAUGAUGUGCUAUUGAUUACCUAGGGCACUUCCAACGACUUGCGAAGGAAAGUGUAUUGAUUUUCAAAAGGCUCCAACAUGGCACUGAAUCAUGAAAGGUAGAAUGGAUGUUAUAUAGUCCUCUGUUCUCUAAAGUAAGAGUAAAGAUAUUCCUUUUACUUCAAGUGAUGAAGAAAGUUAGUUGGCUUAAUUAGAUAGAUGUGUGGCUUUGGGGGCAACAACACAUUUAUUUUCACAUAGCGUGAAAUAAAGGAGAGGGAGAAAAACUCUUCUAGGUAGAAAAAAAUGCUAUAAAAUUCUCAGAAACAUUUUUGCGUAGAAUAAUACCAAGAACAAUUGACUCUUUUCUUCCUAAAAUUACUAAUCCAGAAAAUACACCAGGAAGACUUUCCCUCCACUAUAAGAAUGUGUCUUCAUAUUUGCAGUGGAAACCAUAGAUUGUAGUUUCUGAGAAACAUGAACGACCAUGAGGAACAGUUCUUUUCCUGACAGAAUGUUACAGCGCAGAAAUGCAUAUGAGAAAAGAUAUGGGGAAUAUUAUGCACUUUGUGCACGAAAUAAAAGAGUUGUG